AAAUUGAAGAGUUUGAUCAUGGCUCAGAUUGAACGCUGGCGGCAGGCCUAACACAUGCAAGUCGAACGGUAACAGGAAGAAGCUUGCUUCUUUGCUGACGAGUGGCGGACGGGUGAGUAAUGUCUGGGAAACUGCCUGAUGGAGGGGGAUAACUACUGGAAACGGUAGCUAAUACCGCAUAACGUCGCAAGACCAAAGAGGGGGACCUUCGGGCCUCUUGCCAUCGGAUGUGCCCAGAUGGGAUUAGCUAGUAGGUGGGGUAACGGCUCACCUAGGCGACGAUCCCUAGCUGGUCUGAGAGGAUGACCAGCCACACUGGAACUGAGACACGGUCCAGACUCCUACGGGAGGCAGCAGUGGGGAAUAUUGCACAAUGGGCGCAAGCCUGAUGCAGCCAUGCCGCGUGUAUGAAGAAGGCCU
rnacentral:rRNA from 1 species